CGAAGCAGGCGAUGCGCAGCGUGCCGUAGAGCACCUUGAGCAGCCCGUUCAUGCCCGGGUGGUCGUGGAGCGGGAUGCAGGCGCCGGCGCGCAGCACGAAGACGCCCAUGCUGAAGCUCUCCGUCUCGCAGAUGUGCAUGUAGCUCACGGGCGGCUGCACCGGUCCCGGCACCGCCGACGGACCCCGCGGGACCAGGCGCAGGUCCUCGGCCCGCACCUCGUUCAGCAGCUGCUGCAGGCGCUGCAGGUUCUCCACGAAGCGCGGCCCGCCGUUGCCUCCGGCUCCGCUGCCGCCGCCGCCUCCGGCGCUGCUGUUGUUAUUCGCACCCGGAGGGCGGAACGUGACGCGGGCCUGCCGGGCCACCCGUUGAAUCAGGGAGGCCAUGUUGUCCCGGGGCAUCGUGCCGCCGCCGCCGCCGCCUCCCAGCCGAAGAGGAUGCGGGCUUCUGCGCAGGCGCCGCCUGGCCGCCUGCCCUCCCCUCUUCCGCCCCUCUCCCCUCCCGGGUAUCCGUUGCAUUGUGGGGCUUGUAGUGCCCUUUCCACUCCUCCAGCGCGCUCUGUUGGCCUUGUGUGUUCUCGGUUACACCACCGCCGGCAGCGCAAAGACGCCGUGAACAGCAUGACUGAAGCUGUCAAGUCGCAGCUGCUUGGCGAGGGAGAAUUUUCGCGGUUCUGCAGCCUCUCUUGAAGAAUAUCCUGCAAAAUAACAUCCCCCAUCCCAGUUUGGAAAACCAGGAAAGGGGAUGGGAGAUUCGUGAUGCUAUUCAACUUCUAAAUUGAUAUUUGUUAAUAGCGUCGAAAGAAGCCAUGAUCUUUCCUCUGACUUCCUCCCAUCAUCUUCGUCUGCAUACUUCUAUGGACUAGCACCGUAAUGUAUCCGGUAUUAACUGGGGCAAAGUUUCUCCACCCAUAUGUUUUCUCUGUUGGAGAAGUCAGCACCUCCAGUAUAUUCUGUGAAACCCCUCUGCUGAUUUCCACUUCCAUCCUUAGAAAGAUCUUUAGCAUCUAGAGUUUAAUCCUGGAUGAACAAGCUGACCUGGCUUGUGUGAUCAUAAUCUGACUAAGCAGGUCCAUAGUUGGCACCUAGACAGGUAGCAUUCAUAUGCCUGCACAGCUGACAGCUGGGUGGUGGUUUACUGAUGUGCAAAUGCUCCCUACAUAAAAGGCAGUGGCUCCAUUUAAAGGGAUAACUAGCCAUUGGCAGCCUACAUGGCUUUGUUUCUUUCCUUGCGUGCUCAUCACCACUUUUAAAAUUGGGCUCCCAACGUAAGGGAGGUGGAUGCUUAUAAAACUGACCAGAUGCCCAGUCUUAACAUGUGGUUGUUUGCUUCACUUUAAGUCCUGUGUGAAUAUGGCCUGAAUUGUAACUGGUCAGACUUCAAACUUGUAGAGGUGAUUUACCUGUCCUUCUACCUGGGCGGGGGGAGCGGGGGGCGGAUGAGGUUUUCUUUGAAGUUCCCUCCAUGGUUGCUUAAGGGGCACAUUUCUGGGUGUUGCAUCAGCAAACAUGAAGAUGUAUAACCAUCUCCUCUUGAAAAAGGUGAUAUACAGUCAAACAGUACAGUAACCUAUAUUUGGGGGAAAAAAAGAGAUACAUAUGAAAUAGGUUUGAUGAGGAAUCAAUAUAUCUGUCACUUAUUUUACAGGGCAGAAUCAGAUACGUAAUACUUUCAGAUGGAUGGCUCCUAGUCAGCCCAAUCAAAAGUUAUUGUACAGCAACAUGGAGAAGAUGGAAUAAGCAAUUUAAAAAAAUUAAUUAGGCUAAAUUAAGUUAAAAUUAAUUUAAUAGAUUUUUAUAUAAUUAGGUGAGGAAAGUGCCUGUGUAGCCAGGAGAAGAAGAAGGGAUGGAGAUGUUCAUGGCAACCCCAGUUCCUACAGCCAGCAACUGUCUUGUAGAAUUUGCAGUCCAUGGCAUCUGGAAAAUGUCAGGAAACCAUGGUAAGCAAUAUUUUAAAAAGCCAUCUCUGAAGGACCAAACGACAAAAUAUCAAUUAGCAGGACAGUGAUUCGCACAGUAAUAUAAAGCCAUUUUCUCUUACGGAUUCCUUUAAAAAUAAUAACAGCAUGUUUCCUUUCAUCUUUAAUGUAAUGAGUUGAAAACUUUACCCAUUAAUCUUAACUGAAAUUUAAUUAAGCUAUGGGGUCUUCCAACAAAAAUUUAGCCAAUGAGCACUUCUCUACUAAUGCCCAAUGACUGCUUUUUCCUCUCCUGUGCGCAUUUUCUGCAGUUAGAAAGAUGAAGCAAUGGAAGAGCACAGAUGAAUUACAAACAGAAGAUCGUGACCUCUGGACCCCCCUAAAAUUCCAUGAAUGAAGCAGGGCAACUGUACAUCACAGACUCAUCUGGAAGCACUAAUAAUGCCUCAAGGGUUGUGAGGCCAGAGACCGAGAGCCAUUAAAUGCCUAUUUUUAUCUUCUGCUGUUACAAAUGUGUUCUUCCUGUUUGCUUUUCAAAAAAAAAAUCUACCUUCUCAAUGAAAUGUGCAGUACUUCUUUUUCUUCUUCCUCAGCCUGAUUUUUUCCCCAUUAACUGCAUUAAUAUGUUUGGGUUUUGCUCCUGUAAUUUCCUACCAGUGAAUUGGUGAUAUGAAUAGGCUACACGUUAGCUGUCUGUCUUGCGGCUGGAGAAAUUAAACACAUUCUUGUAAUGGAAAGAAGUUCAACGUAAAAAAGAAAAAAAGAAAAAGAAAAAAAAGAACUUCUCCCCAGCAGCGAAAAGUGGAAGGAAGUGACUACUGGGAUGACAGUGUUACAUUUUCUAAAUGGGUAACUUCUCAAUAAUAAUAAUAAUACUAAAAAACAUUCUCACUCUUUGUAUGUGUGUACAAUUCCACCCCACCCCACCCCACUUGGUUUAUUAUUGGAUGAAGCUAACUGUAGGGUUACACUGCAUGUUUUCCUCCCAUCACACACAGGGAAUCUAGACAGGCAUCCUUGUCUCUCUUUCAUCAGUUUUAGCCUCCUCCUCCUCAUGGCACAUCCUUGCAAUUGCAUUCUUCCCCUCUAAAAGGUCUGCACCUUUCCUUCCCCAGGACUGUUCUUUUUGUGAGAUCUUUGGUGACCAUCAAGCCACAAAGCCAAUGGCUACCAAUGCUGAGUUCCUGGACCCUGUGGCAGGGAAACUGAGCCGUAGAUGUUGAGGUAGGGAAGAAUGAGUUAGGGAAUCAAGAAAUGGAGAAUAUUGCCUGAAAAGCAGUAAAUGGUUCCCCAUUCAACCAUGGCUUGCAGAUAUGAUGCAGUUAGAAGAGAAAAUACCAGCAAGUUUGGAAGGAUCAGAGAUCAAACUAUAAAGGGAACUAGGAGUAGGAGUGAUACCACUGCAGGUUGAAGAUGAUGCCCUUGGAAUGGAGGGAAACGCCUACUGCUGCUUUGUCGUCAGUGACAAAACAACAGACAGCCACUCCUGCAAGAGUACAUGCUGGCGUAUAUCAGGAUGGAAAUCCAGCCAUAGAAUGCUGGUGCAGGACCUUGUGCAAUACUUUUUCUUCCUGGUUUCACAGUGGUCUAUGAACAUCUCUCUUGAGCCCAGCUAAUCAUAAAUUUUGGAACAAGAUGAGAUCUGCAUGGUUUGGAUCCUCUUUCAAUAUGGCAGCAGGAAGUGUGAUAUUUUCCCUCUGCAGUUUCCCUCAGUGACAGCCACUGAAGUGGAGGAUGGAGGAAAUAUGCAGUGUAGUGAUAUCAUACAUUGCCAUUUUGCUUUACUAAGCACAAUUGAGGCACAGGAAGAACUAUGGUGGUAGUGGUUGCAGUGGUCGGGUUGCUUGUGAUACUCAGUUCAGAAAUAAAACACUUCUGGACUACUGAGCGGAAUCUUAC
ensembl:lncRNA